GGAGAGCGGUGGUGAUGAUGAUGGCUCUGAGCAUAUGAGGAAGGAGUUUGGAAAUCUCUUCAAGAAACAAAUGAACCUGCGCAAGAUGAUGACUGCCCACUCAGAGAGGCCAGCAGCCAGAAGAUCCCCAGCCUCACUGUCAAGGCUCGGAAGCACUGUGUGGCCCUGCUACAGGA